GAGGCGAUCGACGAGGCGCGUCUGUCGGUCACCGGUCGCCGGGUCGUAGGUGAGGUGACACCCGUGUUCUAGCCCCCGAAUCGCCUCG
rnacentral:tRNA from 1 species